rnacentral:misc_RNA from 1 species
GAUGGAGCUUCACUCAAAUUCGGCCAUGGAUGUUUCUAAGGAGUUUCUUUACGGCAUGGGUAAGGAGAAAUGUUGAAGAUGAAGUUUAAUGGAAGCCAUCUGCCCACUUAGCAUAUAUUUUAAUCCCAUAGUGCCCCACUAAAAAAAUUAUAUCAUAUAAUAAGCCAAAUGUGCAUUUAUUCCACAUUUAACCCAUAAUUUCCACUAUUUAUUUUAGGUACCACCAAUUUAAUUUUU